CCUUCGGGGCUCCUUGGUGAAUCAUAAUAACUUAACGAAUCGCAUGGCCUUGCCGCCGGCAGAUGGUUCAUUCAAAUUUCUGCCCUAUCAACUUUCGAUGGUAGGAUAGUGGCCUACCAUGGUGGCAACGGGUAACGGGGAAUUAGGGUUCGAUUCCGGAGAGGGAGCCUGAGAAACGGCUACCACAUCCAAGGAAGGCAAGCAGGCGCGCAAAUUACCCAAUCCCGAUACGGGGAGGUAUUGACAAUAAAUACUGAUACGGGGCUCUUUUGGGUCUCGUAAUGGGAAUGANAACCAAUUUAAAUCCCCU
rnacentral:rRNA from 1 species